CCUACGGGAGGCAGCAGUAGGGAAUAUUGCUCAAUGGGGGAAACCCUGAAGCAGCAACGCCGCGUGGAGGAUGAAGGUUUUCGGAUUGUAAACUCCUUUUGUUAGAGAAGAUAAUGACGGUAUCUAACGAAUAAGCACCGGCUAACUACGUGCCAGCAGCCGCGGUAAUACGGCGGGUGCAAGCGUUACUCGGAAUCACUGGGCGUAAAGCGCGCGUAGGCGGGAUAGCAAGUCAGAUGUGAAAUCCUAUGGCUUAACCAUAGAACUGCAUUUGAAACUGUUAUUCUAGAGUAUGGGAGUGGUAGGUGGAAUUCUUGGUGUAGGGGUAAAAUCCGUAGAGAUCAAGAGGAAUACUCAUUGCGAAGGCGACCUGCUAGAACAUAACUGACGCUGAUGCGCGAAAGCGUGGGGAGCAAACAGGAUUAGAUACCCGGGUAGUC
rnacentral:rRNA from 1 species